GUCAGGAGAAGAGAGAGCUUCUUUGAAGUCCUGUUUUGGUUUUUGCCUAGUAACAGUUUUAUUGAAAGUAUUUUGUUGCUGCUAUAUCUGAGGGGUACCCAGAAUUUCAAGCCGGGGAUGCGCUGCGAUCCAAAACCCAGAAACUGGAUAUAACUGGUGUGUUUUGGAUGGCGUGCAGGCACGUGCAUCCACUGAAGUUCCUGAACCUGAAAAGAGGAGAGAAAUAAACAGUCCCGAUCUGAAGGUUGGACACCACAUUUGCAGUCCAGGACUUUCAUGCCAUGCUCAUAAUGCUGACUGUCAGAUCAGAGGAAUGACCAUUGACGAGGCCAUUGCACAGCUUAAGUUCAACGACAAAAAGGGGACAAUGAGAGGCCCAGGAGAUGGCAGUCCAUAAUCAAAGUGGAAUACAAGUCCAAUUUAUAUGUUGUGGAAUCAUUCUCCAAAAAGGGGAAGUACCUGAAACGUAUCCGUUUCCAUGGCAGAGGAAUGUUUGCGAUCAUGGAUGAAGUUUACUGUCACUACUUUGUCAAGCUGGUGGAAGGGCUCCCAGCUAAGGUGGAACAGAAGACAAGCUGUUCCAGUCGCACCAUUAUCCACGCACUAUAGGGCAACUAAUAAACUCUGUUUGGGAUUUGAUA